CUUUCCAAAGGUGGUAGAGGUCGCAGUUAAGUGUGGAGAUGUCCUCAGGGGAUUUCAUCACAGGGCCUCCGGGAAUGGACUGCACACAAUUUUCUGUAUAGACGAUGGGACUCAAUCUUAAAGUGUAUUCCAAGUAUUGGGCAAUCCCUCUUCAACCUCCUUCCAAAAUGAGUGUAAACUCCAUAGAGAAGCAAUUUUUGUUGGUCUGCUGCGUGCACUGAUAAAUCCCACAUGCCUAGACCGGUGCCCUUGUACUGGGGACAGGGAAGAUACUCAACAAAAUGGUUACGGACGACCCAAUUUACAUCGUUCUGUAUUUACAAAUGGGCUCCCGAGGCUUCUC